AGGAAAUACAAAUGUUCAGCAAAAUUUAUCCAUAUUCGAAAUUAUCUAAUAGUGAUUUAAUACUAGAUGGAGUUGAUCCCACUAAUAAAGAGAAACAUUUGUCAGACGAUGAAUUUGAGCUUUACUUUGGGAUGACCAAAGAAAAAUAUUCAAGUUUACCGAAA
rnacentral:lncRNA from 1 species